rnacentral:piRNA from 1 species
UGGAAAGGGUGCUAUCAGACUGCCUUCCUUU